AGUGAACGCUGGCGGUAGGCCUAACACAUGCAAGUCGAACGGCAGCACAGUAAGAGCUUGCUCUUACGGGUGGCGAGUGGCGGACGGGUGAGGAAUACAUCGGAAUCUACUUUUUCGUGGGGGAUAACGUAGGGAAACUUACGCUAAUACCGCAUACGACCUACGGGUGAAAGCAGGGGAUCUUCGGACCUUGCGCGAUUGAAUGAGCCGAUGUCGGAUUAGCUAGUUGGCGGGGUAAAGGCCCACCAAGGCGACGAUCCGUAGCUGGUCUGAGAGGAUGAUCAGCCACACUGGAACUGAGACACGGUCCAGACUCCUACGGGAGGCAGUAGUGGGGAAUAUUGGACAAUGGGCGCAAGCCUGAUCCAGCCAUACCGCGUGGGUGAAGAAGGCCUUCGGGUUGUAAAGCCCUUUUGUUGGGAAAGAAAAGCAGCAGGUUAAUACCCCGCUGUUCUGACGGUACCCAAAGAAUAAGCACCGGCUAACCUCGUG
rnacentral:rRNA from 1 species